GACGAACGCUGGCGGCGUGCUUAACACAUGCAAGUCGAACGGAAAGGCCCUGCGUUUGUGGGGUGCUCGAGUGGCGAACGGGUGAGUAACACGUGAGUAACCUGCCCUUGACUUUGGGAUAACUUCAGGAAACUGGGGCUAAUACCGGAUAGGAGCUCCUGCUGCAUGGUGGGGGUUGGAAAGUUUCGGCGGUUGGGGAUGUACUCGCGGCUUAUCAGCUUGUUGGUGGGGUAGUGGCUUACCAAGGCUUUGACGGGUAGCCGGCCUGAGAGGGUGACCGGCCACAUUGGGACUGAGAUACGGCCCAGACUCCUACGGGAGGCAGAAGUGGGGAAUAUUGCACAAUGGGCGGAAGCCUGAUGCAGCAACGCCGCGUGCGGGAUGACGGCCUUCGGGUUGUAAACCGCUUUCGCCUGUGACGAAGCGUGAGUGACGGUAAUGGGUAAAGAAGCACCGGCUAACUACGUG
rnacentral:rRNA from 1 species